rnacentral:tRNA from 1 species
GGGGCUGUAGCUCAGUGGCAGAGCACUUGCCUAGCAUGCGUGAGGCACUGGGUUCAAUCCUUAGCACCA